rnacentral:rRNA from 1 species
UACGUAGGGCGCAAGCGUUGUCCGGAUUCACUGGGUGUAAAGGGUGCGUAGGCGGGAAGGUAAGUCCGCGGUGAAAUCUCACGGCUCAACUGUGAAACUGCCGUUGAUACUGCUUUUCUUGAGUUCGGGAGAGGUUGAUGGAAUUCCAGGUGUAGCGGUGAAAUGCGUAGAUAUCUGGAAGAACACCAGUGGCGAAGGCGGUCAACUGGCCCGUUAACUGACGCUGAGGCACGAAAGCGUGGGGAGCGAACAGG